rnacentral:rRNA from 1 species
GAUGAAUGCUGGCGGCGUGCCUAAUACAUGCAAGUCGAGCGAACAGACGAGGAGCUUGCUCCUCUGACGUUAGCGGCGGACGGGUGAGUAACACGUGGAUACCCUACCUAUAAGACUGGGAUAACUUCGGGAAACCGGAGCUAAUACCGGAUAAUAUAUUGAACCGCAUGGUUCAAUAGUGAAAGACGGUUUUGCUGUCACUUAUAGAUGGAUCCGCGCCGCAUUAGCUAGUUGGUAAGGUAACGGCUUACCAAGGCAACGAUGCGUAGCCGACCUGAGAGGGGGAUCGGCCACACGGGAGCUGAGACACGGUCCAGACUCCUACGGGAGGCAGCAGUAGGGAAUCGUCCGCAAUGGGCGAAAGCCUGACGGAGCAACGCCGCGUGAGUGAUGAAGGUCUUCGGAUCGUAAAACUCUGUUAUUAGGGAAGAACAAAUGUGUAAGUAACUAUGCACGGCUUGACGGUACCUAAUCAGAAAGCCACGGCUAACUACGUG